AACAACACAUUAAAGAGUUCCAAGACACAUUGCACCCAUUAGACACUGCAAGGCAAAAGUACUUCUUUGCAGACGAUAUGACACCUAGCUGCAGGUUACUUCCAGACCAUGAUGAUUGUGGCAAUCAAAUAACAGAGCCAGAAUUGUGGCGCCCAUUACAGAUGAACUCGGAAGAAUAUAAUGCUCAAAUAGAGGAAGCAAAGAAGAAAUAUACAUGGAAUGGAAGCAAGGAUGUCAUCGAAGGACACACCUUGCAGGAUGAGCAAGAAGUGCAGGGAGAUUCGUCCAUACACUGUGCCCAGAGACAGCCUGUGUCCACAGCCAUUUGCAAGUACAGAGACUUUCUUCCCUAGUUCAUAGAAAAGGAUGGCAUCCUCGACUUGACAUCCCCUGUUGCACGCAUGUCACACUCUUGGGUCAGAGCAACAACAUGCUACUCCCCGAUGGGCAAAUGGGACAGUGAGAACACUGAAAGUCCUAUACACAAGCACAGGAAGAGAUAUUCAGCAACAUCAAUUUUUGGCAAGAGGCUUUUUUUAGAUGAUUAUGUUGAAGAUGAUGAUCAAAAAGGCACUAAAGAGAAACCAAUCCUUGU